UACGGAGGGGGCUAGCGUUGUCCGAAGUUACUGGGCGUAAAGCGCACGUAGGCGGCUUGGUAUGUCGGGUGUGAAAUCCCCGGGCUCAACCUGGGAACUGCAUCCGAAACUGCCUUGCUCGAGUAUGGGAGAGGGAAGUGGAAUUUCCGGUGUAGCGGUGAAAUGCGUAGAUAUCGGAAGGAACAUCAGUGGCGAAGGCGACUUCCUGGACCAAUACUGACGCUCAGGUGCGAAAGCGUGGGGAGCAAACAGG
rnacentral:rRNA from 1 species